rnacentral:rRNA from 1 species
AGAGUUUGAUCCUGGCUCAGAGUGAACGCUGGCGGCAGGCCUAACACAUGCAAGUCGAACGGCAGCACAGCAGUAGCAAUACUGCGGGUGGCGAGUGGCGGACGGGUGAGGAAUGCGUCGGAAUCUGCCUAUUUGUGGGGGAUAACGUAGGGAAACUUACGCUAAUACCGCAUACGACCUACGGGUGAAAGUGGGGGACCUUCGGGCCUCACGCAGAUAGAUGAGCCGACGCCGGAUUAGCUAGUUGGCGGGGUAAAGGCCCACCAAGGCGACGAUCCGUAGCUGGUCUGAGAGGAUGAUCAGCCACACUGGGACUGAGACACGGCCCAGACUCCUACGGGAGGCAGCAGUGGGGAAUAUUGGACAAUGGGCGCAAGCCUGAUCCAGCCAUGCCGCGUGUGUGAAGAAGGCCUUCGGGUUGUAAAGCACUUUUGUCCGGAAAGAAAUCCUUUCGAUUAAUACUCGGGAGGGAUGACGGUACCGG